CAGAUACCCCUCUGAGCACGGAGCCCGACACAAGGUUUGAUCCCAGGACUCUGAGAUCAUGACCAGAGCAGAAACCAAGAGUCAGUCACUCAACCCACCAAGCCACGCAGGCACCCCUAUUUUGGUCAUUUUUACAUGAGUUUGAAAAGUCAUACACACACAUGUUUGAAGAGACUCGAGUUUAUGGAUAGCGCAUACUUAAGUGCUUUAUUUAAUAGCAGACAUCAGUGUAGGGCGUGAGCCAUCAUCCUGCCAGUUGCACUUAGCUCUGGUUAUGCCCUGGGCAGUAAGCAGAGCCUGCAAAUGUCCUACAACACGAACUACUGUCAUAGGCUUGCCAUGCCACCUGGGCAGGGUUGCCAAAUAAAAUACAGGACACUCAGUUAAAUCUGAAUUUCAGAUAAACAAUAAAUAAUUUCUUAGAAUAAGUAUGUCCCAUGCAAUAUACUUAUACUAGCAAAAAGUGUAAGUAUGAGGGGAGGGCUCAUGUGACUCUCUGGUCACACUUCAGGAGCCAGAGUCCCUUCCAGAGAGGUUGGAUCUCCAUGCCUCUCUGAAGAGUGAUUCCCACAGAUCAGGUUAGGAUGCUCAUCCCUGAGGAAUCUUCAGGGAAGUUGUUAUUAGGUCCUGAAGGUUUAGAAGGACUUUGAUGGGUGGGAAAACAGCACGUGGGGUUACAGUCCAGAGCGUUGCACACUCUAAGUGAGGCACAGGGGCAUUUGAAGGUUUCCCACGUUUGAAGGUCACUGAGAAGACAAUGGCACCUAGGGCAUUGGGUGUAUGCGGGUGCGUGUGUUUAUCUGUGUGUAUCCGUGUGUGUGUCUCUGUGUGUAUCUGUGCCUGUGUUUGUAUCCAUGUGUGUCUGUGUGUGUAUCUGUGUUUGUAUCUGUGUGUGUGUGUUUUUGUGGGGGGUGGUACUCAGGAAGACAUAUGGUCAGGGAAGUAUUUGGGGGCCGGGAGUUCAGGAGUUUAAGAAAUUAGAUUGAAUGAGUUACUACCUAGUUCCUGAAUUAGUCAUUUUGCUUCCUUUGUUAAUGGAUUUCAUUAUAGACAUUCAAGUUUCCCUAAGCAUUGCCAUUUUUUCUUGUUAUAAUUAGUUUGUUUAUUGUUUGUUUGUUUAUAUUACGUUCUUCUGUGUUCAGUUACAAAAAGGUUAUAAGAUGGAUAGGAACAGCAAGUCAAUGAUUAUUUAACAAGUAAUAAGCUGACUGCAGUCAAAUGAGCUUGUCAUUGGAAGCCUUAUUCUGCUAUCUGAAGCGAACAUGGCAGAGCUCGUUUAUUUAAUUAGAAGCUGUUUUUACUGGAAUCCUUCCAAGAGGACAGUGGGUGUAUUCUGUGGUGUUUCAGGGCUCCUUAGAUUCCAGAGAUCUCACAGAUAGAAAUUAAAUAAAAGGGAACAGUUUAAAAUCAAACCCUGUGAACGGUUACUUUCUCCAGUAGUGUCUAUUGACUUCUUUCUUCCGUGUCAGCUGCUUGGGGAUGGAGACCUUUCUCCUCAGAACUGGGCAGAUAUAAAUUACAUAAAAAUGUACCAAGUUCUUUUGGUGUUUUUCCCAGAUUUAGAAGACACACAUCUUGCCAUUUCUUGAUUAAUUACUACAUGGAAGUUGCUGAGAGGCAAGCUUGGCUCAACAUAACGAAGGACUCGCAUAUGAUUGUGGGACACUGCCAGGCUGGGUGACGAAGAUUUGGGUCCCAGUCUCAAGUGCAGCCAUAAUUCUUUGUGGGACCUUCAGCAAGUUGUUUCCCUUCUCUGGGCUUUAAUCUCCAGGUGUGGAAUGAGGAAGGGAUCAUUAUGUUUCCUUUUAGCUGCCCCACUCUGAAAUCAUGGGACGCACUGGCAAGAGGGCUGUCCAAAGAGGAGUACUCAGGUAAGCCAAAGCAGCAAGGGAAGGCCGGCUGAGUGGGGAGACCCAGUGGAGCCUUAAAGGAAGGACAAGUACAAAUGAAAGGAGAGAACCUUAUAAAUUUAUUCUAAACAAAUAAUCAUAGACACAUACAAAGACUUGAUGAAAGACAUAAUGCUAGGAGGAUCUGGGAUAUUAUUAUUUUGAGAGUAUUAAAGAGUUCAUGAGUGCUUGGCGUAGACCUUCUUGUUUCUAGGAACAGCCGAGUAGGUUAUUUAACAAAUCCUCCCACUGAAAGCUACUAAAAAUAUAGAUUAAAAAAAUCUUAGAAGCACCAAAGAGAUGACAAGAAAAUAAGGAAUUACUGGAUUAAAAAUAAAGGGGAAAUGAAAACCUAGUGAGAUAAGCAAGCAGAGAAACUGCUUUUGAUCUAAACACACUUGCUGAUCCCUCAAAAUUAAAGCUUUGUUCUGGCAGUCUAAGAGGUGAGAGGGACAAAAAUCAAAGCUCAGGCCACAUACAGUAAGGCAUCUCCUAGGAGACCCUUCCCACCACAAGCUGGGACCCAAAGGCUUCACUGCCAGGAUGAGACUGAACAAGUGACAUAGCUCCCAUAGAAUUACAGCCUGGCUCCAAUCCUCUGGGUCCCUCGUUAGUCUCUUUCUACUCAAAAUGUGAUCCAUGGGGUCACAACAUCAGCAGUACCGGGGAGCUUAUUAGAAAUGCAAAUUCUUGGGCCUCAUCCAAGACCAACUGUAUCAGAAUCUAUACUUUAACAAGAUCCUUGGUAGAAGCCAACCCAAAUCCUCUCAGAGGAAAUGUACUUUCGUCAUAGACCUCAAAUUAUUCCUGAAAAUAGUUUUUCUAACACAGCAUCCAGUAAAUAGUCAAAGAUAAUACGUCACAAAAGAAAAUUAGGCUGAAUAAGAGAGAACCAGCAGAAACAACAGGUAAUAGAAACAGAACUACAGAGACUUCACAUGGUGGAAUUAUCAGAUGCAGUCUACAAAACAAUAAUUUAUAUUCACAACAGCUACAUGUAAAAGGGAUCAUAAAAUUUUUUUAAAAAACUUGAAGAUGUCUUCAGUGAAUAGGAAACUAUAAAAAGUUUGUAGCAUAUUUGAAAAAGAACUAUAGCACUUCUAGACAUAAGUGUUUGGCAUGUUUCCUGGAGCUCAUCCAUUUGUGGAUGACUGGCAUAGGGUAGUAUAGAUGACCAGAUAUUGAAGGUGUGUGGGAAAGGCUAGACAACUGGUUAUCAAGAUCAUUGAAAAGGGGAGGCCAUUACUGUCUAAGGAUUAGCCUGGUCAUCCUCAUUUCCUUCUAGUAUAGAUGCCAUAGGAUGUUUUCCUAAGGAUGGGAUACCCUCUAACUGGCUAGGGCCCAUGGAAUCCUAGCUUGAUUUCUCCUCGUGUAGGCUUGAGAAUCCUGUGGGAGGUUGCUAGAUCAUUCAUUGGAGUAAAUAACAUCACAACUGCAUAAUAUUUGCAGACAGUUAAGGAUCAUCCACAGAAACCCCAGAUGAAACAGAAGGAGGCUCUCUGGGAGACACAUGGAUCAGGUGCCAUGGAUCCAGGAGAAGUUUGUGAACUAUGAUCCAGACACUAUUUGCACAUUUCUGCAUGAGUCUGCACAAGACCACUCCACUUUCAAACAUUCUCAGAACUUCAUAAUCUUCAGAUUGUAAAGAGAAAACACUACGGUCCUUCUUUGGACGCUCCAGCCUUCUUGGUUCUGUUUAUCCCUUCCCCUUGUUGUACUCCAUCAAACUCUCCAAAUGGGAGGUUUGUGUCCAUAUUUUCUGUCUGCUCUCACCCUUCAGAACCCCUGCACCCUAAUUUCUGUGCAUGUCAUGAGCAUAUUCAAGUUCCACUUUUCCUUUGGUUCAUCCUCCCCAAAUUCUCUGAUCAUCUUCUUAGGGCUCUCUCUUUGGAAAUCAUAGUUAUCAUUCACCUAAACCAUUUUUCGUUAUACUACUUAAUCCUCACACUACUUGUGCAGAAUAAGCAUUUUUGUUAUUCCUAUUUUAUAACAAUGUGCAUUCAUUAUAGGAAAAUUAGAAAAGACCUCUAAACAAAAGAAGCAAAUUGAAAUACUCUUGAAUUUUACUACACAGAGAUAACUUUACCACUGUUAAUAUUUAGUAUAUUUCCUCAAACUUUUUUAUAUGAAGUUUUUUUUGCAAAAAAAUGAGAUUUUGCAUGCUGAGCUUAUGGUUUUAUAACCUUUUUUAUUUACUAACAAUAUACAGUGAAACUUUUUUCCAUUUUAGUAAAUAUAUACCCUACAACAUAAUUUUUAAUGUUUGCAAAGUAUGGAUGUAUGAUAACUUAUUUAACAAACCUUUCAUUGUUGGGCAUUCCAAUCUUUACUAUUAAAAUAGCAUCUUGUAGCUACAUCUUUGUGCAUAUUCUUAAUUAUUUCUCCAAGACAGAUUCCUUAAUCUAGAAAUGGAUUCAUGCUUCUGAUUUUGAUAAAUUUCCCUUCCAGAAAGUUUGUACUAAUUUAGACUCCAAACAACAAUGUGUGAAAAUGAACAUUUCCCUGAACCCUAGCAUUUGGGGAUUAUUGUUUUUAUCAUCUGGUUAAUGUCAUAAGUAGCCUAUUAUUGCUGUUUUAAUCUGAUUAUAAAUAAGAAUAUUUUCUCUUAUGUUUCUUUACUAUUUGAUUCUUUUGUGAAUUAAACUGUUAGGAUUCUGUAUAUUUUAACACACUGGCACAUAGAAAUAAAUAUUAGCAGCAUCAUUAUCCUCCUUAUAGGUAGCAUCAUUGUACACUGCAAAUGGUUUCCCCAAAUUUGUCAUUUUCUUUUCAUUUAAUUCAACUGUACUUUGUUAAUUUAGGCUACACAGAGGUUUAAAGUUUUGAUGUGAAAAAACUCAUGAACCUUGAUCUUUACGGUUUCUGCCUCUAGUUGCAUGCUUAGAAAGACCUUUCCCACUCUAAGAUUAUAGAUUCACCUUAGAGUAUUUUUGUAUUUUCGUAUUUUACAUGUAAAUCAUUAAUACAUUUAGAAUUUAUUUUCAUAUAAGGAUGCGAUAGAGAUCAGUGACUUCUCACAAAAGGCCAAAUGGUUUUCCAACUCAACAUUUUGAGUGUUUUUCAAAAGGAACAGAGCAAAGACAUUUUUGAAUUGAGACCUGUGAAUGGCUGUAUCUCUGAGUGGAAAGGAAUUAAUUACCACAUGUCAGAAAUCAGCAUGGGGCCAGAGCUAUUAAACAUACUAAUGGCUUGGAUGGAAGAAGAGCUGCAAAGCAGGCUGUGAGCUUCUCCCUGUCCAGUGGUGAUUUAAAUGGGUUAGUUACAGCCCAGGAUGACAGUGAGGAAAGCCAGACAGUCUCCCAUUUUUUAUCAGGGAAGGGAGCAGCUAUGGUGUCCGCAGACAGGAUUGGAUCUGCUUGUAAUCUGGUUGCCUGCAAGGCUCCCCUGCCUCCUUGGCCCUCAUUUUGAAGACUGGAAAGGGAGUAGAAGGCCUGAGAAGGGCCAGGGCCUUCAAAAGCAGCCUCCCUCUGUGGCCAGGCCUGGAAAGAUGACAUCCAGGGUAUGCUCACUUAUGCCCCGGAUUCCCUUCCAGCAUGGCCGCGCUCUCUGGUUUUGCUCCACUGACUUCUGGCUUCUGCUUCUGCUCUCCUAUAUCCCCUAUUCUGUAAUUUUCUUCAAAGCACGUAUUUCAUAUUAAAAUCAUUCUUCUCUAGACUUUUCUUUUUCUGUUUGGCAGUCGUAUCAUUGCAUGCUUUUUCCACCUUUGAACUGUUUUUCAUAAUGUCAUAUUUUCUGAAAUAGGACCUUGGUUUUUCUACAGGCAAGAAGCAUAAUGAUACUACUUGACAAUUACAAGUUGCUCCCACUUGUUCUAACACAAACAUCUGAGUCAUCCUAAUAGGUAGGUAGGCAGGGUCAUGUGGACAAAGUAUAGAUUUGAGAAGGGGGUUUGUCUGAGGGGCACAGUGAAUCAGGAGCAGAUCUGUUCUGGGGUCAGCUUCAGAACUGAGCCCAGCUUCAGAAUUCUGCCUCUCAUCCUCCCAGGCCCAUUUUCUACCCAACUUGAUGGCUCCUAGGAGUCCUGUGAUUCAACAGAACUUACUGAUUUCUCUGCCACAGCCCAGUGCUAGGGUGCCAAGAUAACUGAUUCAUACCCAGUCUCUUAGCAGGUUCCCAACCAGAGUGGUGUUUAAGUAUUUCCUGUGUACCAAAUGAGAGAUGGACAAGGAGGAGUGUUAACCAUGGUCAGGCUGUUGGUCAGGGGAGGUUUCACAGAAUAUCGUAUUUGGGCAGGGGGGUUGGAGCCUGUCAGACUGGAUGAGCCCUGGAGUCUUUAAAGGAUAUCUGUUGUCCUGUUCUGCCUGUCACUCAUUCCCACCCCCACCUUCCCUGCCCUCAGUGUGUGUGAGUUCAUCCUCUGACCACAGAUAUAGGUUCAGGUCUGGGACCUACAUUAUUCUAAUAAUACUCAAUCCUGCAGUUUUUGUUUAUUCUAUUGGGAAAAAAAGAUGCUGGUCUUUCCACAGGGUAACUGAGAAGCUGAUGGCCAUCUUGCCUCUGUGAGGAGAGAAACUGCCUGAGGAGAACCCAGACAGGAAAGCAGAGCUGAGAGAGGGAGAGGGUGAGACUGUCUUCAGGACACUGUCUGGGUUCUGAAUCCAGCCACCCAUGAAAGCAAAUACCUUGAGUUUUUCAGCCAUGUGAGCCAAGAGAUUCCUUUCCUCAGGUCCUGCUGCUCAGCGUUCAUGGAAUGAUUAGAUCCAGAUUGUCCUGCUUUCAAAGCUGCCAAUUUUUAUUCCUUGGUGAUGUCAGAUUCCAGACCAGCAGGACUUUCUGAGCAACUACUGGAGGAUUUCUUUGCAAACUAACGUGGACACAACCCACACAGUCAUAUGCCUCAACUGAAGUUGACCCUUUCCUGUUCCCAAGCCAUGCCCGAGUUGUCUGAGCAUAACUUCCUUUUCCAUCCAAGCACUAAUGGGCCAUUACUUCUAUAAAACGAUGGUCAGCGUCCAUGGUAGCUGGAGGAGUCCUCAGUGUUGGUCAGAACUACUCUGACCCCCUCACCUUCCAGGCACACGGGAGGAUUCAUCUUCCUGGCCCCCAUCUCACUGAGGUCUCGACAAGUGACUUGUUUUUACCAAUGAAAUGGCAUGGGAAAGACCAGGGGCCUGUCACAAGAAAAGUGAACAAACAGGAGGUCACAUUGAAGUGACAAGCUGCAGGAUGCCAUGCAGCCGAUGGGAAAGGAGUGGGGAGACGGCGUCCCAGGGAGCCCCGCCGGGGAGGACCAUCAGGAGGAAAAGCGUGUGGCCUGCUCUAGAGGUGGAGGCCUGCACUGCCCGAGCACAGGCGAGAAGCGGGCGGGAGCACGCAGGGCCCGUGGGCCCCGAGGAGGUCUUAUCUGCAGUCUGCAAUUCUCAGAAUGGAGACAUUUUGAGACAAAUGACAGCCACUUGCUCGUCUCACUGCUUACUCCUCUGGUAAGAGCCCUGUUUGAUGCACAUCGCACACUGAGUUGGAUGUGUGAUGCCUCACGCUGCUGUCAACAGAAACACACCGAAAUAAAAUAAUCAUCUCUGCAAGCAAAGGCCUAGGAUGACACUCUAGACGCCCUUCUGGAAAUAAAGGGGCCUGCUGCAGCUCUGCAGGGAGCAAAAGCUGGGAUCCACCACGAGGCUGGGUGUGGAAAAGCAGAGAGGCCAGCAGAGGCUGAAAGUGUUGUGAGGCGGGGAGAUUGGGUUGGGUGGGGUCAAAGGGAAUGGGUACAGCCUGAUCAAAGAAUGACUCAUUUUCUGAGAUGUGACAGGCCAAGGCAUGGGGUUGGCCAAGAGCAGGAUGUGCUCCUGGAUUCUGAAAACCCCAGUUAGAGCGGGUUGUUUCUUUCUGGAGAGGUGGGUGGAUUCAUAUGAGGGUCUGGACUGUGGACAGCCCUGAGAGCCAGUCUGGAGAACUGGUACCAUUUGGCAAUGGGAAACCACUGAGGUUUUUGAGCAGUCGGUUGUUAUGGUGAUGGAAUUUCCUCUGCCAUAAGGUUGAGAAAUGGAAUGAAUGAGCAAGCAGAUGUGAAUAAAUGAGGGAGGGGCAAAUCUCAGGUGAAGGAGUCCGAACCGAAUCCUGAGGGCACUGGGGAAUCACUGAAAUGUUUUAGGUAGAGAGUGACAUGAUCAUCCCUUUUUUCAGAUGAAAUGGGUAAGGGGAUUGGAAGGAGUGGGAGAGUCUUUGGGAUAAGGAGACCAGUUGGAUCACUGCUUCUUUUUUUUCCCUUUUUCUUUUAGAGAGAGAAGGUGUGGCUUUGGCGGGGGAGGGGACAGAGGAAGAGGGAGAGAGAGAAUUUUUUUUUAAGAUUUUAUUUAUUUAUUUGAGAGAGGGAGAGCAUAAGCGGGGAAGAGGGGCAGAGGGAAAGGGAGAAGCAGACUCCCCCUGAGCAGGGAGCCCGAUGCAGGGCUCCAUCCUAGAACCCCGAGAUCAUGACCUGAGCCGAAGGCAGAUGCUUAACUGACUGAGCCAGCCAGGCACCCCUGGACCACUGCUUCUAGAAUGUCCUUCUCUUGCAAGUCCUCACAUUGCCCUGAUGCAGUUACCUCCUGUGUCCACCUACCUCCGCACCAAGUUGGCACAUAAUGUUGAUUUGCUAAAUCUGGCAAUCCACUCAAGUGCCACUUCCUCCCUCCACGAAGCCUUCCGCCUCUCCCCACCUGGAAAGGACCUUUCCUCUUGGGGCUUUCAUGCUUCCUCAGAUGUUCCUCUCUAAUUGCAGUGAUUGUUUUUCAUCUUAGAAUCAGCUUGUCUGGAUUCAAAUAGCAGCUCUACCACUUGCUCUGUGGCCUCAGGCAAGUUCUCUUCCUUCCUUCCUGGGCCUCGAUUUCCUCAUUGAUAAAAAUGGGGAUAAUAAUAAUAAUAUCUUUCUCCUAAGGUCACUGUAAGGAUUUAAUGAGUUAAUAUUUGUGAUAGGCUAAGAACAGUGCCUGAAGUAUAAUGAGCUUUGGAUAAGCAAUGGCUAUUAUUAUUAUUAUUGCUAUUAAAGUUAUUUGUGUCCAUGUCUUAUCACCCAUAAUAGAUUUGAGCCUUUGAGGGUAAAGACUGUGUCUUAUUCAUUUUUGGGUCUUCCUCAGUGAGUAGCAAAAUGCAUCCACAUAGUAUGUGCUCAAUAACUAUUUAUAGAAUGAAUCAAUAAUGAUCAAAUGAGUGAGUGAAUAUAACCUGUAGAAUGUAAUUUAACUAUUUGUGAUGCUGGAAAAAAGUAUUAUUUUAUAUUCAAAGAUACUUUGAUCUUUAAA